GACGAACCGUCCAAGCGUUAUUCGGAAUCACUGGGCUUAAAGGGUGAGUAGGCGGCGCGGAAAGUUGGGUGUGAAAUCCCUCGGCUCAACCGAGGAACUGCGCCCAAAACUGCCGUGCUCGAGGGAGAUAGAGGUGAGCGGAACUUAGGGUGGAGCGGUGAAAUGCGUUGAUAUCCUAAGGAACACCGGUGGCGAAAGCGGCUCACUGGAUCUCUUCUGACGCUGAGGCACGAAAGCUAGGGUAGCGAACGGG
rnacentral:rRNA from 1 species